GGCUUAACACAUGCAAGUCGAGCGGGGGAAGGUAGCUUGCUACUGGACCUAGCGGCGGACGGGUGAGUAAUGCUUAGGAAUCUGCCUAUUAGUGGGGGACAACAUCUCGAAAGGGAUGCUAAUACCGCAUACGUCCUACGGGAGAAAGCAGGGGAUCUUCGGACCUUGCGCUAAUAGAUGAGCCUAAGUCGGAUUAGCUAGUUGGUGGGGUAAAGGCCUACCAAGGCGACGAUCUGUAGCGGGUCUGAGAGGAUGAUCCGCCACACUGGGACUGAGACACGGCCCAGACUCCUACGGGAGGCAGCAGUGGGGAAUAUUGGACAAUGGGCGCAAGCCUGAUCCAGCCAUGCCGCGUGUGUGAAGAAGGCCUUAUGGUUGUAAAGCACUUUAAGCGAGGAGGAGGCUACUUUAGAUAAUACCUAGAGAUAGUGGACGUUACUCGCAGAAUAAGCACCGGCUAACUCUGUGCCAGCAGCCGCGGUAAUACAGAGGGUGCAAGCGUUAAUCGGAUUUACUGGGCGUAAAGCGCGCGUAGGCGGCUAAUUAAGUCAAAUGUGAAAUCCCCGAGCUUAACUUGGGAAUUGCAUUCGAUACUGGUUAGCUAGAGUGUGGGAGAGGAUGGUAGAAUUCCAGGUGUAGCGGUGAAAUGCGUAGAGAUCUGGAGGAAUACCGAUGGCGAAGGCAGCCAUCUGGCCUAACACUGACGCUGAGGUGCGAAAGCAUGGGGAGCAAACAGGAUUAGAUACCCUGGUAGUCCAUGCCGUAAACGAUGUCUACUAGCCGUUGGGGCCUUUGAGGCUUUAGUGGCGCAGCUAACGCGAUAAGUAGACCGCCUGGGGAGUACGGUCGCAAGACUAAAACUCAAAUGAAUUGACGGGGGCCCGCACAAGCGGUGGAGCAUGUGGUUUAAUUCGAUGCAACGCGAAGAACCUUACCUGGCCUUG
rnacentral:rRNA from 1 species